rnacentral:rRNA from 1 species
UACGUAGGGCGCAAGCGUUACUCGGAAUUAUUGGGCGUAAAGGGCGCGUAGGCGGUCGUGUGCGUCAGAGGUGAAAUCCCCGGGCUUAACCCGGGAGCUGCCUCUGAUACGGCAUGGCUUGAGUCCGGGAGAGGAGAGCAGAAUUCCCAGUGUAGCGGUGAAAUGCGUAGAUAUUGGGAGGAAUACCGGUGGCGAAGGCGGCUCUCUGGACCGGUACUGACGCUGAUGCGCGAAAGCGUGGGUAGCAAACAGG